ACCUGCGGAAGGAUUAUUUG
rnacentral:rRNA from 1 species